CCUCCUCCUCCUCCCUCCUCCUCCUCCUCCCUCCAUCAUGUCUGCUCCUCUGCGCUCCAUGUCUCCCUGACUGUUAAAGCUGUUAAGUGCCAUUAAGUGGCUGCUCUUCACAUGUAAACGUCUGUGAUCCAGACUGAGACCAGAUUCCAGCUGCUCAAGAUGAACGUGGCUCUGAUCCAUAACCGACUGGUUCGUUGUGUUGUUGUGGGAGAAGAGGAUCAGUGAUGAGGGUCAACACGCUGAGACUGAAGAGAAGAGGAGGAGCCAGAGCGCCCUCAACAGGCUGAGGAAGGAGUGGGUGGUCCGCCUGGAGAACCGAACCAAACACCUGAAGAACCUGAGCGUGAUGAAGGUGAAGACGGAGAAGACGUCGUAGCAGCAAACGUGAGGAGGAAGCGUCUGAUUCUGUCUGAGCUCUUAAAUAAACAGACGACGUCUCA